rnacentral:sRNA from 1 species
GACGCGCGCGUCGGGGUUUAACGCGUUUCUGGGCCGCCGUAAGCCCGGCCUAGGGGCAGCUUUGACUCGAGAGCCGGCUACAGGCGCAUGGAAGGUUCCCUGGAACGGGAGGCGCCCCCGGCGGCGCUGGCCGCCGUGCUAAAGCACAGCUCGACGUUGCCGCCCGAAAGCACCCAGGUCCGGGGCUACGACUUCAACCGCGGUGUGAAUUACCGCGCACUGCUGGAGGCCUUCGGCACCACCGGCUUCCAGGCAACCAACUUCGGGCGCGCUGUACAGCAAGUCAAUGCCAUGAUCGAGAAGAAGCUGGAACCGCUGUCACAGGAUGAAGACCAGCACGCGGACCUGACCCAGAGCCGCCGCCCACUUACCAGCUGCACCAUUUUCCUGGGAUAUACAUCCAACCUCAUCAGUUCAGGCAUCCGUGAGACCAUUCGCUACCUUGUGCAGCACAACAUGGUGGGGACCUGGUGGGGCCGUGGCCUUGGCCUCUGGGUCAAUGGGCAAUGCAGUUAUUGAUCGUUUAAGUGAGAUGGGCAGAUAGGGGUCUGUUAUAAGCAGAGGAAUAGAAUCAAGUUUUGUUUUGUAGCAGAGCUCCCUCAUAAGAGUCACUGGACAAGGAUGAGGUUAGAAGUUCUGCCCAGAAUGAGGGCAGGGGCUUCCUUCUUGGGCCAAA